GUUGACACAAAGCCUUAGCGGCAGUGCAUUUCGAAGAAUUCCACAGUCUUAUAUUUAGGUUUAAAGUCGAUUUUCUUGUAAACACAUAUUUAGCAAUCGAUAUUGAGUUGCUCCAAAUCAUUAGUUUAACAUAUUUAAAUUAAUUAACCUUCUUCGUCUUAAUGAAGUUGACACAAAGCCUUAGCGGCAGUGCAUUUCGAAGAAUUCCACAGUCUUAUAUUUAGGUUUAAAGUCGAUUUUCUUGUAAACACAUAUUUAGCAAUCGAUAUUGAGUUGCUCCAAAUCAUUAGUUUAACAUAUUUAAAUUAAUUAACCUUCUUCAUAUUACUGAAGUUGACACAAAAUCUUAACGGCUGUGCAUUUGGAAGAAUUCCAUAAUCUUAUAUUUAGGUUUAAAGUCGAUUUUCUUGUAAACACAUAUUUAGCAAUCGAUAUUGAGUUGCUCCAAAUCAUUAGUUUAACAUAUUUAAAUUAAUUAACCUUCUUCAUAUUACUGAAGUUGACACAAAGUCUUAACGGCAGUGCAUUUGGAAGAAUUCCAUAAUCUUAUAUUUAGGUUUAAAGUCGAUUUUCUUGUAAACACAUAUUUAGCAAUCGAUAUUGAGUUGCUCCAAAUCAUUAGUUUAACAUAUUUAAAUUCAUUAACCUUCUUCAUAUUACUGAAGUCGACACAAAGCCUUAGCGGCAGUGCAUUUCGAAGAAUUCCACAAUCUUAUAUUUAGGUUCAAAGUCGAUUUUCUUGUAAACACAUAUUUAGCAAUCGAUAUUGAGUUGCUCCAAAUCAGUAGUUUAACAUAUUUAAAUUCAUUAACCUUCUUCAUAUUACUGAAGUCGACACAAAGCCUUGACGGCAGUGCAUUUCGAAGAAUUCCACAAUCUUAUAUUUAGGUAUAAAGUCGAUUUUCUUGUAAACACAUAUUUAGCAAUCGAUAUUGAGUUGCUCCAAAUCAUUAGUUUAACAUAUUUAAAUUAAUUAACCUUCUU